GCUAGCAUAGUCCAGUAGUUUGAGCAUUGGACUAUGACUCUAGAGACCAGGGUUCAAAUCCCGGCUUGGCA